GGCGAAUAUAGCUCAGUGGUAGAGCAGCAGAUUGUGGUUUUGUUUGUCGCGGGUUCAAAUCCCGUUCUUCGCC
rnacentral:tRNA from 1 species